ACCACCAAUAUCCCAAGGAUGUCCCAAAAUAGUCAUGGACGUCACCGAUAUCAAGAACGUCGCCUGGAUGUCCAGCAGACAUCAGCUUUUGGUCGUGCAAAUUUGCUCCUGCCAAGCACAUUGGACAUUCACAUAACAGCUAAGCCAUGACAAAGCCGCAUUUCGGUGACGCCUUCGAUAUAUAUGGUGAGUAUUUUUUUGUUCAUCCAACAUUAUAAAACAGCGACGUGCGAUAGAAAGAAUAGGUGCAUCAAAAACCUAUGAAAGAGGUUAAAAUUUGUCACGUAUUUCCUGUCAUAGACAGCGUAAAACGGUCAUUGCGUGUUUCAUUGGCAUCCCUUUUGUCACAGGGCAGACUUCUUUUGAAGCCCAGCAAAUCCACCAAACAGAAUAGCAGGGGGCGCUACAAGCGGCUUCGACUCCCUAUUCUAUCCAAUCCAAGACAGGUCACUCCCCAGGCUUGCCGGCGGUGUAAACUGCGAACAGCUCACUGUCUUCUGCUUUGGCGAUCAAAAGGAAAAACUGGCGACCUAUUGCGACUACGAUAAUUAUGCAAUACGCAAUUGUUGAAUUUACCGAAACACAAGAGGUCGAGGUGGUUCCUUGCUCAUGGAUCACUGGCGACAAAUGUCUUUGGCCAAAUCGGCCAUCAAGCAAGGUUCAACGUAUGGUGAAAAAAGGUUUGCCUCCUGGGCUAGACCGAAUGGAGUACAGUGCCAAAGUGAAAGGAAUAUUUGCAUCAUACCACGAUGCUCGGCUGAAGCUGCCCCUGUCUGAGUUAACUUCGGACAUUGGUUCAGAUGUUGUUCCUGCCAAGAGAAGGCGAAAGGCGAAAGUGUUUGAAAGUGAAGAAGAAGAAGAAGAAGGAAGCUUCCCACCUCUUCCCGAAAGCUUCGUGAAAAGCACUCAAGGUACCUGUCCAAUUGUUUUGCUUUAAUGCU